GGUCUGAUGGCGUAGUUGGUUAUCGCAUCUGUCUAACAGCUUACGUAAGCCGAUCACAGAAGGUCGCCAGUUCGAAACUGGCUCAGAUCA